GAUGAACGCUGGCGGCGUGCCUAAUACAUGCAAGUCGAGCGAACGGACGAGAAGCUUGCUUCUCUGAUGUUAGCGGCGGACGGGUGAGUAACACGUGGAUAACCUACCUAUAAGACUGGGAUAACUUCGGGAAACCGGAGCUAAUACCGGAUAAUAUUUUGAACCGCAUGGUUCAAAAGUGAAAGACGGUCUUGCUGUCACUUAUAGAUGGAUCCGCGCUGCAUUAGCUAGUUGGUAAGGUAACGGCUUACCAAGGCAACGAUGCAUAGCCGACCUGAGAGGGUGAUCGGCCACACGGGAACUGAGACACGGUCCAGACUCCUACGGGAGGCAGCAGUAGGGAAUCUUCCGCAAGGGGCGAAAGCCUGACGGAGCAACGCCGCGUGAGUGAUGAGGUCUUCGGAUCGUAAAACUCUGUUAUUAGGGAAGAACAUAUGUGUAAGUAACUGUGCACAUCUUGACGGUACCUAAUCAGAAAGCCACGGCUAACUACGUG
rnacentral:rRNA from 1 species